rnacentral:sRNA from 1 species
GCUGGGUGUGGUGGUGCAUGCCUAUAAUCCCAGCAGCUCCGGAGGCUGAGGCAGGAGGAUUGCGAAUUCAAAGUCAGCCUCAGCAUCAGCAAGGCCCUAAACAACUCAGUGAGACCCUGUCUCUA